rnacentral:lncRNA from 1 species
AGGAGACUCAGUAGAGAUCAGCGGCUCUUGCUGUCAUGCUUAACCCUGUUCUGUAAGCUGUGGAGUGGAUUAUAGAGGAUAGAGGAAGGUAAACACAGAGACCAAAGGCAAGGAAACGGCUUGAUAUGAACUCAACUGCCCUGCUUCCUCAAUUCUUGGAGACAAGAUUUCACUUAUCUCAGGCUGGCCUCGGAUGUGAUAUGUAGCAGAGGAACUUCCUGAAUUUCUGAUACCCCUUCCUCCUCUCCCAGAGCUGUGGUGUUACAUACAGCCCUCCUGUCUCAACAGGCUCUUAGGAUUCUUAAAUAACAAGACAACACUAUGAGGAAGUAGAGAUAUUGAGGUGUGCCCAGGGGAAGAUAGAGGCACCUAGAGACAGAAAGCAAGCCAUGGAAGAGGUGAGCGACAAAUCGUACAGAAAGAAAGUGGCAAGACCCAGAGGGACAAGGCUGCUGUGCACUACAGCUCAGCAAGUAAGGGGCAGCCUCGAUGGAAUACAGGUGAGUGAUUCCUCACCUUGAUGCUGGAUGGUCACUACUCACAACAGCUGCACCCACUGCUUUUAUCUGGAUGCUAGAGCAGUCUUGGGAAAGGCAUUGUGUUCUGGGUUCCCUGGUCUUCUUCCCUAGCACCCAUUGGGGACUUUGCUUUGGUGAUGAGAGCCCUGGCUUCCCCCGGCAUGAGUAUUGGGGAAGGCAAGGGACCCAGAAGAUAUCUACCCAUGGAAGAUUCCAGUUGAGUGAAAAGUCACAGUGAAAUGUCCAGUUAGAUAGGAACAAAGCAGGGUGUGAAUGGCUUUGGAAGUCAGUGCUGAGGGGCUAGUUAGGUGCAAUUAGGGAUUAAAGUUUGUUGGAGAAGGCUUCCUGGGAAGACUAUUGUAGGAGAGUCUGGAAAGAUGGGAUGUGUUAUUUAUAUAUGUCUACUUAUGAGGGCCAGGAGACAUAAGAGUUGGUAAAUAAACAAAAAUCUGAGUCAGGACGAUCUUCCUUACUAACCUGGGUGGGCACCACCAACCUGUUCAGAGUCCAGUGCAACCAAUGACUAAGGAAGGGCUCUUAACACAAAGGGCUUCCCUGGUUCUCCAGCUUACAGGCAGCAGGUCCCAUAGGGCUGUGAGCGUAUUUCCACAAUACAUCUCCUCACAUUGAUAAAAGGAUGGUUUUGAUUUUGCUUCUUGGAGAAACCCAAUUCAGGAUACAGGCUGGCAGAUGUCAAGGCAAGAGAGAAACAGAUUAAAAUGGCGAGGCUGUGGAUUUAGAUGCUAAUGCUAACAGGGAUGUUCACUGUCAAAGAGGUAGGUGCUGAGAGAAAUGCCUUCGUGGAUAUUUGUUUGGUUGUUUUGUUUUGUCGAGUCAGGGUUUCUGUGUAGCCCUGGCUGUCCUGGAACUCACUCUGUAGAUCCGCCACAACCACACGGUUGCCUCUUUGGAUGUUAUGUAAACAGUUAAUGGCCCUUGGAGGGCUGCAAAGAUGAUGCCUUAUACCUCGGGGCAGCAAGAGGGAAAGGUCUCUGGUGGAUGAGGUAUUGGGGAUGGCUGCAGAGUCCAGAUGGUUGUGACGUCUUGAUGUAAAUCAUAUUAUUAAACUACAAUCCCCAGCGACCCGUGGAACUCUUUUAGCGAGUUUUCCGGGGAUUUGGCAUUUCCGGCGGAAGCAGACGUCGCUAGCCAUUCUUCUUAUUUAAAUGCUGUCGACUACAACUCCCAGUGCCCUCCGCGCCAGGACGAAGAAAGGAAGCGGAAGCUGCAUGGGGAGCUUGUGCAGGUGAGGGAGUAGGGGGCUGGAUCUCUGGGAAGGGCGGUGGGGGCUCUCGGAGUUCCGGAGAGGUAGCCGCUCUGUGACUCCAAGGCCUACAAGGGGCCCCUGUGAGCCCUGCAGCGCUGUUUUGAUUUAAAUCCUGUGGAUUUCUGUACCACCUACAAGGGACAGCGG